GUUACCCCUUCUAGUCCACUUCUGGUCACCCGCUUCAGAUACUAUUUUCUUAACGUGCAGUCUGCUAAGAGCAUCACUACGCACGCUCCACCACGUGCGAAAACCUUGAAUGAAAACCGAUUGUAAACAAGGGUUUUAAAAACGCUGCUCGAACAAUAUCAUCAGGAAUUGGUGCAUCUGAGACAGAAUUUAGUAAUGAACAUGCUAUUAAUAUGGAAGCUGAAUCAAACCAGUCCUCAGCUAGAGAAGAAAUUCUUAAAGACGAAG